rnacentral:miRNA from 1 species
GUUCUGGCUUUCAGCUGUCACC